rnacentral:tRNA from 1 species
GGAGAUGUAGCUCAACUGUUAAGAGUGCUUGCCUAGGGUGCAGAAAGCCCUGGGUUCAAUCCCCAGCACUACUG